AAUGUGGAAGGAUUUGUAAGCCCAUAUGUGUCUGGGCACAUUGUUUUUCGCCAUUGUAAAAAGAGCCGGGAAAAUUGAGCUUGCGUUGUCGUGUAAGAGUUGGAGGACACACUGCGAAUAAAACGUGUUCUACUACCACGGAUUAGUCUGCCCUUUCUUUCGGGAACCAAUGUGUGGGGUAGCCGUUUAAGGCAACUCCAAGUGACGCACGACGACAGGUUCAACAUUAAAGUGCUCUUAAAACUAAUAAAUAUGAAUGUAUACA